AUUGAACGCUAGCGGCAUGCCUAACACAUGCAAGUCGAACGGCAGCACGAGGAGCUUGCUCCUUGGUGGCGAGUGGCGGACGGGUGAGUAACGCGUAGGAAUCUACCUUUUAGCGGGGGGACAACCCGGGGGAAACUCGGGCUAAUACCGCAUAAUCUCUACGGAGCAAAGUAGGGGACCCUUCGGGGCCUUACACUAAAAGAUGAGCCUGCGUCGGAUUAGCUAGUUGGUGGGGUAAAGGCCUACCAAGGCAACGAUCCGUAGCUGGUCUGAGAGGACGACCAGCCACACUGGGACUGAGACACGGCCCAGACUCCUACGGGAGGCAG
rnacentral:rRNA from 1 species